rnacentral:rRNA from 1 species
UACGUAGGGUGCGAGCGUUAAUCGGAAUUACUGGGCGUAAAGCGUGCGCAGGCGGUGAUGUAAGACAGAUGUGAAAUCCCCGGGCUCAACCUGGGAACUGCAUUUGUGACUGCAUCGCUGGAGUGCGGCAGAGGGGGAUGGAAUUCCGCGUGUAGCAGUGAAAUGCGUAGAUAUGCGGAGGAACACCGAUGGCGAAGGCAAUCCCCUGGGCAUGAACUGACGCUCAUGCACGAAAGCGUGGGGAGCAAACAGG